UACGAAGGGGGCUAGCGUUGCUCGGAAUCACUGGGCGUAAAGCGCACGUAGGUGGCUUUUUAAGUCGGGGGUGAAAUCCUGGAGCUCAACUCCAGAACUGCCCUCGAUACUGGGAAGCUUGAGUUCGGGAGAGGUGAGUGGAACUGCGAGUGUAGAGGUGAAAUUCGUAGAUAUUCGCAAGAACACCAGUGGCGAAGGCGGCUGACUGGACACAUAUUGACGCUGAGGCUCGAAAGCAUGGGGAGCAAACAGGG
rnacentral:rRNA from 1 species